CUGCCUUUUGAAUUUUAGCUUUCUGUGAGCAGAUUUGUCUUGUUUACUAACAUUUCCCAUAGUGUCCAAUAGAUGCCAGGGACAGAGUGAGUAUUCAGUAAAUAUUUAUUCAAUAAACGAAUCAGUGUUUCAUAGAUGCUACAACCUACUACGAUAUAAAAAUGAGAAUGUAAUUUGAAGACAGAAGGUAAGAAAAAAAGCUCAAUUAGAAAUUGGGUUGUUAUGUAAACCUAAAAUAUAAAAAUUUAGUUUCACUAGUAUAACACCAUGACAGGAUGAUUUAGUUAGUGAUCUCUAAAAUCAUCACAGCUGAAAAACAUCUUGCUCUAUAUUCACUACGUGGUAUACUAUGAAGCCUCCUUCUGUGCAUUUAAAAAAAAUAAAGACCUAUCACUUGGACUUAAUUUUUCCACUGCAUUUCAUCAUGUUAAAUGUCUGGCCACUGCAUUACUACCACAAUGGGAAUUGUUACUAGGAAGCUUAGAUUCAAAUUAAGGUAGUUCCAAGGACUUUAUUAAUUAGCACGUUCAAAAAGCAUCCGUUGAGUUUCUCCAGGAUACCAAAUAUUAUGGGCAGUGCAAGACCGAUAAAUAAAUAAGAUAUAGUUCCUGUUAUUAACAUCUUUACAUGUCAUCGGUGAGGAAAAUGUGGCACCCUUCAUGACUGUGUAAGUCCUCUUAUUGGGGAAGUUCUCGGCUUGAUGGGGGAGUCUUGUUUGCCCAGCUCUUCACAGGAAAAGGGCUUGGCAUUAACAUGACCUCACUGGGUUUCUCUCCAGGUUUCAACUUGUGCCUCCUGGGAGUAAAGCUGUACACCUUCAUUAUGCAACCUCGUCCUGCACCCAUCAGCCCCCACCCUUCAUACCUACCCUUUUAAUCUUUCAAGAAGUGAAAAAAGUUGGCUUAACCUCAAACAUCCUUUACACCAGGAGAAAUGUAACGAUGAUUGAUGGUUAUUCUAAAUGAUCUGGGGUCGAGGAUAAUAUUUAAUUCUGCUUUGUGUCCUCUUUGGCGGGUGGUAAAUGUUGGUUACAUGAAAAAUAUCGCCCUUGUCCCCAGGUGGGGACCAUGAGAUUUCUCUAAUGCAAAGUGACUAUUUUUCCCUUUGUGAGUUAUGAGUAUCUUGCAGGGAAACACUUUGAGACUCUGCAAGUAUCCUGUUUCUCAUCGAACUUUCACCCACUAGUUUCAGCAUCCCUUGAUGAUUAUUGUCGGAAACAAUUAUGACGGUAAUAUUGUUGAAUGGUGAUUUGGCAAAUCACCUUUACAUGUACAUGUAGGGUAAUCUUAAAACAAAAUUAAAUCUAGAGGGAUUCUGUGCAGGAAGAACCUGCAUAGAACAUUCAUCCAAAUUCCUAGAUGGGCUAAUUAAUAAAGUCCUUGGAACUAUCUCAAUUUGAAUCUAAGCAUCUUAAUAACAUUGUGGUAGCAAUGCAGUUGGCAGACAUUUAGGACAAAAGAAUGAUGCAGAAAAGUUAAAUCCAGGCAAUAGGUUUUUAUUUUUAAAAAAUGCACAGAAAAAGUCUUCACAGUUAUCCAGGUAGUGAAUACAGAGCAAGACGUUUUUCAACUGUGAUGAUUUUGGAGAUCACUAAGUCAUCCUGUCAUGGUAUUUUACUAGUGGAAUUAAAUUUUUAUACUUUAACUUCAUAUGACAGUUUCUUUUACAUGUGACCAUGCAUUGCAAAAAACCUUACCUUCAUGACUCUUGUACCUUUUAGCUGUAUGACCUUUUCAUGUUCCUUAUAUUCUCUGAACUUUAUUUUACUUAUUUGUAGAUUGGGAAUAAUAAUAGUAAUUGACUCAUAGGGGCUGCCUGAAAAUUAACUUAAACAAUAUGUGUAAAGUUCCCAGAUGAGUUUGUGAUAAACAGCAGAUAUUCCAUCAAAGUUUGCUAUGAAUGUUGUUGUAUUUACCAACAUUUCUCAACACUGAUGGGAUCUUAAAACAAAAUUCAAUCUUGAGGGAUUCUGAGCACGAAGAAAGAAGAUGUUGCAAUGCCAUCCUGAAGUGAGCAGUAAAGUUGUUCACAAAGGCAAAGACCGCAAAUCCCUGCCAGGGAGCGGCAGGCUCCUCCUGAAAGGACUUAAAGGCCGCUGGGAAAGCCGAGGGACUCCAGCUUACAUUUUUUCCAGCUCCUCAAAGCACACAUCUGUGGGCCCUGAUAGAGGGACCCUGCUUGCUUUCUUCUGUAGAGAUAAGAGAUAUGCCAGAAAUCACCCCUGUGGAAUUAUUAUGUGAAAUUGGGAAUUAGGCCAUCUGACGACUUUCUUGUGAAAUGAGAGCAUCCCGAGGAAUACCAUUAUUUAGGAACAUCUUCCUGUCUGCAUUUGGGUUGGAGUGUAUUACUGGACGGGGUGUUUACGUGUGUGACAGUGGAUGGAGCCGCAGAAGGUCAAGUGAAGGUGUUUACUUCUGGGUAAGAGGGAGAUACAAGAUCCUCAUAAAACCACAUCAUGAAGCUUCUCUUCCGGAUCAUGGCUGCAAAAGCAUGAGGAAACACGAGACAUUAAACAGCCACCGCAUGGUGUCUUUCUGAGGCUCAGUUUGAAUCAUACACAGAAGACCUUCAAAGGUUAGUGGUAUGUUCAUAUAUGGGUUGUGACCGUGACCCUGGGAGACAGAGUCCAGGUUCACACUUGCAGCUCUUGCACUCAACUGCUGAGGGCUUUGGGUAGCUCCCGGGUUCUUCCGAGCCUGAGAUUCCUGGUCUAUAAUCAGGAGCCACCUCUACCUCGUGUUGUCGGGAAGAUGUAAUGGGGACA
rnacentral:lncRNA from 10 species